rnacentral:lncRNA from 1 species
UCACAUCAUAAUAAAUCCAUGCCUAUUAUAUAUAUAUUAAAAAAAAAAAAAGGCAUAUCAUCACCAUAUUCACAUGCACAUACAAUAAAGAAGGGGAAGAAAAUCAUCAUCUUGAACAAAAGGAAGGCACGCCAUUUUUCUUUCUUUCUCUGGACCAAUAGAGAAACAUUUUUUUUAUUUUUCUUUCUUAUUCAUCAAAAGACACACUCACCUCUCUCUUCUACACAAGAAAUCGCACAAACUAUUCAUCCUCACCGGAAAAAGUACACCUACGCACACACACUGCUCACAUAUGCAUAGAGGGAGUGAGAGAGGACAGAAGGGAGAUCGAGAGUGAGAGAUCAAAAGGGAGAAAAGAUACAAAAAAAUGGACUGAAAAGGGGGAAGGGAACCAGCUUUUUCAGCGAAACCUUAGCCGAAAUCAACUCUACAUCGCGAUUAGGCUGACCCACCUCCGUAAUUCCAAAAUUUCUCUUUUUCUAGUGGUUUUCUAGAUGAAAUCGGCCGAAAAACACUGAGGUCUCGAUGAAAAUCAUCACACAGGUUCUCAGAUGCAUCUUGGAAAGUUUGAUUUCGGGUUGUUUUUGUCUAUUUUCCACGAUUUUGUUCGAAUGGGUGAAAAAAAGAGCAAAAGUUGAAAUAAUGAGGCUUGGUUUCAUUGUUGGGUCUGUUUCGGGGUUCAUCGGUUCAUGAGGCUUCCGUCGCUAUUAAAAUCGAUACAAGUUGAUCGGAUAAAAGGAACAUUGAUGUCCAAUUCUAUCUUUUCUCGCUUUAAUUUUAACAUAAUUGUGAAUGUUUUAUGUGCUUACCAUGUUUGAAUCUUCAUUGUGUAUUAUUUGGUGUUGGAGUUGGAUGUGAAGUCUUGAUUGGUGAACCACGUAUGGAAUUAGUUUAAUCAUGUUGAUAUUGAAUUCGGGGUGGAAUUGAGAAAUUGACAAAAGAGUGAAUUUGGAUUGAUUAAGACUUUGGUUUAAGUAUGAAUAUUGUUGAACACGAUAGUAGCAUGAUUAGACCGAGUUGGAUAGGCAAAUGUUUAGGUGUUUAUAGGCAAAAGUUAGAAGUGGUGUGUUGUUUGAAUGCGUUGAAUGUUGAAAUGGGGGAUGAAAGUAUUUUUGUUUUAUCACUUUUGGAUCAAUUGUACUAUUUGGCCGGGGAAUGACCCGAAGUAUUUGUAUAUAUUUAUUCACUGAGGAAGGCCCUGACGUACUAUGUUGGCGAAGGCAGAUCAAGAACAAGGCCCGAGGCAUCGGGUAAAGCUGAGGAGCGUAGUUAGGAUUAGUAUAGAUUAGAUAGGACUUAUUUUCGCAUUUUUAUUUAUUUUGGGACUGUAUAAUUGGACUGAACACUAUACUUUGAUUCGUCUUGUUUGAUUGCUUUACGUGUUUCUUUGUGGUUUGUACAUUCGUAAUGUCAAAAUUAGCCGAUAUACUUCACCAAGCGACCGUGGUCAAACCACGGGAUCGAGGGGUGCCUAACACCUUCCCCUCCGUCAACAGAAUUCCUUAGUCGGAAUCUCUGUUCGCGGAUCAGUCUUUUAAAUUCAAAAUUGUUUUGAAAAGUAUUUUUCAAAGGUGACUUAGCACACCGAAUUAUGCCAAGUGGCAACUUUGAGCUUAAAUGUAAAAAUAAUCCUUUUUCAAAAUAAAUUUUCAUCUUUUGUCACCUAAUAAUAAGAAUCCUUCCGGACCUUAAAUUGAAUAUUUUUGGUUAAAAAAAGGGUGUGACAGUUCUGGCGACUCUGCUAGGGACUCCUUUUCAAAAUUUGGGCUUAUUUUCGGAGUCGUAUCGGCUUUGUUUGGCAUUAGGGGUGUAUAGACAUUGUUUGUGUUAUCGUUUAUGUUAUUGUUAUCACUGUUGUGUGUUUCUGUGCUCUUUGUUUACAGUUUUUCUUUAUGUGUUACCGCUUUAUAUCUUACAUCAUUUGCAUAACCCGAGUCAAUUCUUUCUGCAACAAAUCUCGGAGUGCACGUCGUACGCACGAACUCUAAUUGAGUCACCCUUAUUUUAGGGGGGGAGCCGUUGGAUGUAUGGAGUAGGUAGAAAGCAAAACAGUCACUAUCGACCAUAUGCUCUCCCAAACGGCCUUGUUAGUAAACCACAAUGUAGGUCAGCCUUUAGCUCAUUCUUAUGUGCAUUAUAUUGAGACCUAGCGGGACCCAAACGGUUCUUUGUAGGAGACUCACCCCUAAAGCAUCCCUACGUGCUAAAUAUUGCAUCUUUGAGGAUAACAUGGUCAUUUGACGGACUGAUUUGGGGAAAGCAUGUGCUAGAAUUAAAUAGUGUGUAGGCAAGGAAAAAUUGAAAAAAAAAAAAAAAAGAGAGGAAAAAGAAAGAAAAAGUGAGUCAAAAAGUAAAAAAGGAGAGUUUCGUAGUUUUUAGAGUUUUUUGUGGCUUUUGUUUUUUAACAAUCUAAAUAUUCAAAAAGAUUUAUUUUACCUUUCGCACUCAUUUUUUUCAAAAACAUCAAAAAGAUUUUUCUUUUGUUCCUUUACCAUGAAUUCAUAAUUCAAAAAUUUCAAAAAUAUUUUUUAAAUUGGAGCUUUUUAUAAAGAAAAAAAAAUACAAAAAAGAUGGUAGAAGUUUGUACAUUACAUAUAACUAAAUACUCAAAAGAUUUUUCCUUUCAUAAUUGUUAAUGUCAGUUUUUAUGUAAAGCGUCAAAUUGCAAAAAAACUCAAAAAGAUUUUAUUGACGUCUUUUAUCGUCUGUCUGUAAUCGCAUCUCUCACGUCAGGGUUCAGUCGGUUAUUUAAUCAUUAAUUGUCCUAUCUGGACGAACUACGCACCCCUGAUUCUUCUCUUUGAGGAUGUGAGAUACGUAGACAACCUAUUGUUGGUUCAGGGAUCGUAUUUAAAAAAAAAAUUCAAAAAGAUUUUCUUUACUCUUCACUUAGAGUAGGUGUUUCAUAUACAUCUGUAAAAGAAAACUACAAAAAGAUUUUUCUUUAAUAGGUUCAAGUUUUAUUUUCAUAUGAAAUUUAAAACUGAAAACCCAAAAAGAUUUUCUUUGGUAAUCAUAGAUUUCACUUUGUAUAGGGAUGUUAAAGCUGAAAAAUGCAAAAAAGAUUUUCGUCAAUUCUUUUGAUAAUUUGUUAUUUUCUUUUCUUCUUAAAGUUCCAAGAAAAAGAGAAAGAAAAAAGAGUUAAUUGGCUAUUUUGGCAAGACUUCACGAACUACGCACACCUGAUUCUCCUCUCUCGGGUGUGAGAUACGUAGGCGCCCUUCUUGGGUUCGAUGACCUUUCCAAAAAGAAAAAAAAAGGAGAGAUUUUGAGAAAGUGUUGAACUCUAACACAUUUGCUAUCUCUUGUUCAGUUAGUUUGAGGUGGUUGGUUUGUGGAAUUUUGAAUGGUCCUCCAUAUUGCACCAAGUCACAGAGAAGAUUAUGGCCAACAAGGAUACCGAGUUUUUUGUCACUAAUCAGAUAGGGAGUUCGGGAAAUGAGAAUUUAGGAUCUAAUGAAGAGAUUCAAAAAUUAAGGCAGCAAAUGAUAGAAAUGCUUCGAGCUUGGGAUAAUGGGUUGCCGCCUCCUCCAGUUCCCACUGAUAAUCUGGAAUAUCUUUCUAGCUUGCCUCCCGUGUCACAUGCACAAUUUUCCAUUUUUGUUGAUAUGACACAACAUGUAUCAGGAUCGACUCUGGGGCAACAAUAUCCAACCACUUCCAAUGUUCAUUUUCUCACUCCCCAAUCCAAGACUACCACAUACUCGGCUCCACUUGUUGUUCAUGCUUUUGCGGUGCCACCCCCUCAUGAAGCUCCUAUUUUUGAUGUUCAUCCACAAGUUGUGCCUCCCUACCCUACAAGAGAGACUGCAUUGAAUAUUAUUGGUGAUCAGCGUUACACUUCCGAUCCUACAUUUAAGUUGACUGGUCUUUACAGUGACACUCACCCGCCUAAAUUUCCUCCUACCAUUGAGAAACCUGUUAUGACAGAAGAACAAGAUGAAAUGACUAAAAAAUUGAGAAGUUUGGAACUGGCUAUGAAGAAUUUGCAAGGAUUUGGGGAUUACAAAAGUGUCUCAUAUAAGGACUUAUGCAUGUUUCUAGGUGUCAACCUUCCUCCUGGCUUUAAAAUGCCAAAGUUAGAGAAAUAUGACGGACAUGGGGAUCUAGUGGCAUAUUUGAGGCGCUAUUGUAACCAAUUAAGGGGUGCUGGAGGGAAGGAAGAACUACUCAUGGCUUAUUUCGGGGAGAGUCUUUCAGGACUAGCUUCAGAAUGGUUUGUUGACCAAGACAUCGACAAGUGGAUUAGUUGGGAUGACCUAGCUAAUGAAUUUGUGCAACAAUUUCAAUACAAUUUGGGGUUGAUCCCUGACAAAAAAUCCCUAAACAGUAUGAAGAAGAAGAAUACUGAGAGUUUCAGAGAGUAUACAAUCAGAUGGCGUGAACAAGCUGCUAGGGUGAGGCUACCAAUGAAAGAAAGCAACAUAGUGGAGGUGUUUAUUCAAGCGCAAGAUGAAACAUACUAUCAACAUUUGUUACCUACGUUAGGCAAGCCAUUUAUUGAGGUCCUUAAAAUAGGGGAGAUAAUAGAAGAGGGAAUUAAGACUGGUCGCAUUGUGAGUUUUGCAACAUUGAAAGCGACUACUCAAGCAAUUCAAAAGGGUUUAGGAAGUGUUGGGGAGAAAACGAAUGAGGAAGAUGCAUCUGCUAUUGUAGUUGGACAGCAGGAAAGGUCAAGAAGACCACGUCGUGGUCACACUCAGGCACAAUCCCAAGCUUCACAUAAUUACUCCCAAAAUCCAUUAUACUCUGCUCUUCCCCCUCUAUAUCCAGUAUAUAACGCACAACUACAUAUUCAACCCCUAUCUUACCCACAGUGGAACACACCAACUCCUCACAGUCAUCCUCUGACUCCACAAACAUACCAAAACCCUUCUAAGCCUGAUUUUCGAUCCAAGUUAAAUGAUGAAAUGAGGCAAAAGUUGAGAGAUAGCUUCACACCAAUUAGAGAGUCGUAUACCAAUUUAUUUCAGAGAUUGGUACAAUAGGGCAUGAUCACUCCUCUCCUUAGGUGCACUCUUAAUCAGUGUUUAAGAAACGUUGAUCCUAAUAUACGAUGUGCGUAUCAUUCUGAUGCUCAGGGUUAUAGUAUUGAAGAUUGUCGAGAUUUGAAAAGAGAAAUUGAAAAAAUGAUUCAAGAUAAAUGAAUUAUGGUGCAAAAUGUUGACAGUGAGGGAAGUUCUAGUCAUCCUGAUAUGCAAACUAGUGGCUAAGUCAUCAGGCUGAGCAAUUGAGAAGUCACCCCUCUCCUUACUAGGAAGAGGUCUGGUAGUUUGUUUUGUCUUCUUUUCUGUUUUAUGAAUUAUUUCAGGGUUGUAGUUCAGGAUCUAUUUUCUUUUGUCCCUUUGUCAUUUAUGUUCAAACCCUUCUAUCUUUUAUUUCAAGUAAAUGAAUUGUCCCUUUCCCUUUGUGUUUAAAUAUGUGUCGUUUGUUUGUUUUCUUUACAUAGUAUAUUUUAUGUUGAUUCUAGUGAUAUGAUAUGCUGCGGAAUUUUCAGCCAGAUUUUAAAAUCUAGUUUAAUCAUGAGCAUGAAAUCAGAGGGUUAAAGUUAGAAAAAGCAUUUGAGAAAAUAGGUAGAGUGUUGAGACAUUUGGUGACCAAGUUGAAGUCUUCUUUGAAAAUUAAGGCAAUUAUUUUGAGAUUACAAGACUAACUUAGUCAUCAAUUGAAAUACAUGUCUCGAUUAGGUCAAACAGUGGCUGCGUGAUCCUAUAUCAAGGGUAACAGAAAGAAAAUCAGCUCCACGAAGUCAUGAGUCCUUCAGCAUGAGGUAUGUACAAUGAAAAUGGAGUUGUAUGUUUGACAAGUGUAGAAAAAGAAGUGACAUACAUGCUCAGUUGAAAUUAGUAUUGUUAAAGUACCACAAAUGAUCUUCAUCUUUCAUUUUCAUAUUACAUGAUAUGUACUUGCAUUUUUAAGGAUUGAUAUGACGAAGGCAUUUCAUUCUACUAUCCAAACAUCGUGUCAUCCUUUGUUUACCCCAUUUGAGCUUUAGUCCUAUUUUCUUUUAUACCCCCUCUUUUGGAAUCAUAUAGAGUCAACAAAGCUCAAAAGAAAAGGUGCUGAGCAAAACAGUAGAGUCAGAAAAGUUUCAAAAAAAAAGAAGAGAAAAAUGUGUCCAAAAAGAGAAAAAGAAGAGCAUCGAGAAAAAUAAAGUCAGAAAAAUCACAAAGAAAAUAGAGUAAAAAAAGAAGAAGAACAAGUCAGAGUCAAGCAAAAAAAGAAUAAGCUGUUAGAACUACGCAUGACCUGAUUCUCCUCUCUCGAGGGUGAGAUACGUAGGCUUCCCUCCCAUGGACUCGGUCCAACCAAAUAAAUAAUAUAGAAUUGCCCAGUCAAAAGAAACUGGGGCAUGAUUUAAUCCUCAUUGUUUGAGUCGAUUCGAAAAGUUGUAAGUCCUAACCACUUAAGUGUCGUUUGGGCCCCAUGCCAUCCUUUCUUUCUAACCUUAUCCAAAAGCCAAGCUACAACCAAAGAAAGACCUUCAGAUCAAUCUUUGAGAAUGUUAAGGCUAAGCAUACAAUGCAUAUGAUGACGCAUUUUGGGAACUGCUCGUCUUCCUCAGCAUAGGGAAUCAAAAGAGAAAUAAAAAUAAGUGAGUCUUACUGGUGAAAACCCUUACGGACACCAUAAGGCGAUGGUAAGCUGAGAGAAAUAAAAAUGAGAGAGUCUUACUGGUGGGCACCAUAAGCCGAUAGUGAGCCGAGAGAAAAUGAAAGAAGCUUGUUGGCGAAAACCCUUCAAGGCGCCACUAGCCGAACGGGGUCUUAAAUGCAAUUGACCUAAGAAAGAAACUCAGUUUCAAGGCCAUUAACUCAACAACAAUGGGUAGAAAUUUUGGAUGAAAAGAUCAAGCUGCUUAAUCCAAAAUACAUGGCAUAAUCAUUAGUGUUGACUGUCAUUUUUAGAUGAAUUUUUCGUUUCUUUGUUUUAAAAGGGGACAUUUAUUGUCUUCUCUUUCUUCUCUUUAUUUUAAUUUUAUCUUUCUUGAGUUAGUUAUCCAAAAAAAAAUUGUCAUUCUUUUCUUCAUUUCUUGUCUUUGAGUCAAGUUCGUGUCAAAACAAGAGAGAAAAUAUUUCAAAAAUGGCUACCAGCUUCUUUAAUUGCACAAAGCAAGACAAAAGCUAGCACAUGAAAGAGAUAUGAUUGUGAGCCAAAAAAGGGCAUGCAGAAAGUUUAGUCAAAUGAGAAGUCAGGGAACUCAUGGAAAUACCAAGGUUCAAAGGGUUUAUCUAAGGAGCAUGGAAAAGCAGAGAUUUUGUGUUUGUUUCAGAGUCACUCUUAAUCAUCUGAGUUUGAGUCAAUGAAGCAGCAAGUUAAUGAUAUAUGUAAUGGUUGGAAGAAAGAUUAAUGUGAUAAGGGCAAAGACGAUCUCCGCGAAAGCUAAAUCCACAAAUCAGCCACUAUGUUUCAAACUCACAAGUUUUCUUUGAUGAAACAGAAAGCAUAGUACCUUCAAAGCAAGAAAUUUAGAGCAUAAACAUCAAGGGAUUCAAUGCCUCACUUUUACAAAUGCAGGGAGCAAUGUUGCUGCACAGGUUUGAUAAUUAAAUCAUGGUAAAAAUUCAUCAUCUUAUAUCCCUCGGAGACACUUUUUCUUGUCCAAGGAUUUCAAUUUUCAUUUGUUGGGUGAUACACUUCUUAAAUUGAACCUUCACUCCUAGAAUAUGUACCUUCCAGUCGACUCAUUCCCUUUGACUCUUAGAAGACGUACCUUUUAGUCGAGUCAUCCCCCGUGCUUCCUAUAAGAUAUAUGUUUUAGUCGAGUCAUCUCCUUUGAUUCCUAUAAGGCGUACCUUUUCGUCAAGUCAUUCCCCUUGACCCCUAUAAAACGUACUUUUUAGUUGAGUCAUUCCCCUUGAUUCCUAUAAGGCGUACCUUUUAGUCGAGUCAUUCCCCUUUAACCCUAAAAGACGUACCUUUUAGUCGAGUCAUCUCCCUUGAUUCCUAUAAAAUGUACCUUUUAGUCGAGUUAUCUCCCUUUAUUCUUAUAAGACGUACCUUUUAGUUGAAUUAUUCCCUUUGAUUCCUAGAAGACGUACCUUUUAGUCGAGUCAAUUCCUUUGAUUUCUUUAAGAUGUACCUUUUAGUCGAGUCAUUUCCUUGGAUUCCUAUAAGAUGUACCUUUUAGUCGAGUCAUUCCCUUCGAUUCCUAUAAGACAUACUUUUUAGUCGAGUCAUUCCCUUGGAUUCCUUUAAGGCGUACCUUUUAGUCGAGUCAAUUCCUUUGAUUUCUAUGUGACGUACCUUUUAGUCGAGUCAUUCCCUUUGAUUCCUAUAAGACGUACCUUUUAGUCGAGUCCUUUCCCUUGACCCCUAGAAGACGUACCUUUUUAGUCGAUUCAUUCCCUUUGAUUUCUAUAAGACGUACCUUUUAGUCGAGUCAUUUCCCUUGACCCGUAGAAGACGUACCUUUUAGUCGAGUCAUUCCCUCUGAUUCUUAUAAGACAUACCUUUUAGUUGAGUCAUUCCCUCUGAUUCCUAUAAGAUAUACCUUUUAGUCAAAUCAUCUCCCUUGAUUCCUAUAAUACAUAUCUUUUAGUCGAGUCAUUCUCCUUAAUUUCUAUAAUGAUGUGACUUUCACAAAAAGUCCUUUGAUGAUAAACUAGGGAAAAAUUUAAUUCUUGUUGUUUGGAACUUCACUUUUCUAGCAAAUGAUCUCUUUAUAUAAUCUUUGUUUGGGAUAAUUUUCUUUUAGUUUUGAUGUGAUUUCAGGAGCCCGCCUGAAGAAUAGGGUGAAUACAUGGAAAGUCAAGCGACAAGGUGAAAAGUUGAAAUUUAACAGAUUGAAAAAAAGCAAGUUAGAAGCCCGCCAGAAGAAUAGGGUAAAGAAAUUGAAAGUUAAGCAAUUAGGUGAUACAAUUGAAAUCCAAACAACAAGUUGAGGAAAUUGCAAGUCAGGAGCCCGCCUGAGGAACAGGGUGAUGAAAUUGCAAGUGAGGAGCCCGCCUGAAGAAUAGGAUGAGAAAAUUGCAAGUCAGAAGCCCGCUUGAGGAACAGGGUAAUGAAAUGGCAAGUCAGGAGCCCGCCCGAAGCACAGUGAGAAUAAAUGGAAAGUUAAGCAACAAGGGGAAGCAAUUGAAAACCAGGCAACAAGUGAUGAAAUCUCAAGUCAGGAGCCCGCCUGAAAAAUAGGGUGAUGAAACUCAAGUUAAGACUCCAAAAGAAGCUACGUAGAUAGGAUUUUGUAAUUUUAUUUAUGCUUUUUUAACUUGUAAUUUUUAUUUUUGAUGUAAUGAUAGAGCCGCGAACCGAAAUCUCGAUGGAACCUCACUCGACUCUUUAACUCGGUAUAGUCUAUUUCCUUCCAAUCUUUUGGGAUACCUGUCAAUUGAUUCCCCCACAACUUGGGUAAGUAGGAUGUCCUAAGUCAAGACCCAGUUGCCCUUCUUCGUUCUGUUUCUUCCUUUAAAUAAUGGUCGGGACAAAAUUCUAUCUCAUUGUCUACUUCUUUGUCUGAAAACACUACGUGUUUACAUUCAAAGGGGGCAUGACGUAGACACAUAAUUUUAUUGCUCCAAAAUAUUAAUUUUCACCUUUUUAUCCUAUCUUAUUGUGUACCCUCAACCAUGUAAUUAUACCUCACAAAAAUACAAAAAAAUAACACCCCUAUCAAAUUUCCUAACAAAUUUUUAUUUUUGUUUUAAUUAUCUUAACAACCUAUCCAAUUAAAAGACUCACCCACUACCCCACCCUCCACCCAUGUGACCCUCCCCUCCUUUUUCUUGUCCACAAAGAAAAAAUAUACGUGGGACUCACCAAAAUUCCCACAUCAUAAUAAAUUCAUGCCUAUUAUAUACAAAAAAAAAAAAAAAAAAAAAAAAAGAAAAAAAAUUUAUUCCCUUUAUAAAAAAAAAAAAAAAAAAAAAAAAAAAAAGGAAGGCAUAUCAUCACCAUAUUCACAUACACAUACAGUAAAGAAGCGACGAAAAUCAUCAUCUUGAACAAAAGGAAGGCACGCCAUUUUUCUUUCUUUCUCUGGACCAAUAGAGAAACAUUUUUUUCUUUUUCUUUCUUAUUCAACAAAAGACACACUCACCUCUUUCUUCUACACAAGAAAUCGCACAAACCAUUCAUCCUCACCGAAAAACGUACACCUACGCGCACACACUGUUCACAUAUGCAUAGAGGGAGUGAGAGAGGACGGAAGGGAGAUCAAAAGUGAGAGAUCAAAAGGGAGAAAAGAUACAAAAAAAUGUACUGAAAAGGGGGAAGGGAACCAGCUUUUUCAGCAAAACCUUCGCCGGAAUCGACUCUACACCGCAAUUAGGCCGACCCACCUCCG